AAAAAAGCAGUCCCAAGGGUUCCACAAUAAAGCGUAAAAUCUGGAACCUGUUGCCUUGUUAGUCCCCAUGUCUCCGCCACUAUAGUUUCUUUGAGAUCGAGAGCUGCGCGUUUGAACUUUUUUGAUAGAAUGUGGUACGGUGUUGAGAGAAGCUUCAACAAUGAUUCAUUCGUUCCUUGCGGAUUUGGAUGUUGUUCUUCUUCUAUCGCCGGAUUCUCUGCAACAAAAUCCGGCAUUACAUUUGGGUAAAACCGAUCCGCCA
rnacentral:misc_RNA from 1 species